CAUUGGUGGAAGACAAAAUGUAUUUAUUUUAAUAUUCAUUGUUUUAUCACUGUGUCCUACAUAUAUAUUUUUAAUUUUUUCCGUAAGUGUUGAGCAGCUGCAGGAAUCAAUUUUUAUUCCGAGUUAAUCUCUGAUUCACCCUCCGAAGCGGAAGGCGGCGCUAAUGAGCAUUAAUACGAAACACAGAAGAAGUAAAGGUAUAUGGGCGGGAACAGCACCAAAGAGGCAACACGGACGACUGGAGAAAGUUGGACCUAAAGGCAGCAACUAGCAUCACUGGACUUACAUUGUAUGCAGAGUUUCAGCGGAUUACAAAUCAGAACCUGCCCAAUACAUUCUACGCUGAACUUGACCGCCAUCUUCCUCGACUGAUGACCUUAUUCAGCCAGGGCAUCAAAAACUGGGAAGACAGCAGAUGCCCUGGUUGAAAUUCUAAGAAUUCACAAUGAACAGGAAAUCCAUGAUAUCCACACCAAGUGCACUACCGUUCUCCCUGCCCUUCCUGUCUAUCUGCAUGAGGAUGUCUCUGGAUUUUUCAGAACCUGCACUGACGAAUCUGAUGAGUUGGAGCUUGAUGGUGUUGAAGUGGCCUCUUCACUGUCAUCAGUGACCAUCACACAAUAAGUCCAGUUCACUACCAACCUGUGAAAAUCUCUGUCGUCAUUGAAAGUGAUGCCGUGUUCAGUCUCCCCAGAUUUGGUGAAGCCUUCCUAGUAAUGUUUGGACUGAUCUAUGCACUUCACCACAGCUACCCCAAAGCCCUGACC
ensembl:lncRNA